rnacentral:rRNA from 1 species
GGGUAAGUUACUAAGGGCACACGGUGGAUGCCUUGGCGCCAGGAGCCGAUGAAGGACGGGACGAACACCGAUAUGCCUCGGGGAGCUGUAAGUGAGCGUUGAUCCGG